GCGUAGCUCAAUUGGCAGAGCAGCUGAUUUGUAAUCAGCAGGUUGCGGGUUCAAGUCCCACCGCU
rnacentral:tRNA from 1 species